rnacentral:tRNA from 1 species
GGUUUGUGGCUCAGUGGUAGAGUGUUUGCCUAGAAUGUGUGAGGCCCUGGGUUUAAUUCUCAACACCA